rnacentral:rRNA from 1 species
CCGGCGCACGGGUGAGUAACACGUAUGCAAUCCACCUGUAACAGGGGGAUAACCCGGAGAAAUCCGGACUAAUACCCCAUAAUAUGGGCGCUCCGCAUGGAGAGCCCAUUAAAGAGAGCAAUUUUGGUUACAGACGAGCAUGCGCUCCAUUAGCCAGUUGGCGGGGUAACGGCCCACCAAAGCGACGAUGGAUAGGGGUUCUGAAAGGAAGGUCCCCCACAUUGGAACUGAGACACGGUCCAA